rnacentral:rRNA from 1 species
GAUGAACGCUGGCGGCGUCCUUAAAACAUGCAAGUCGAACGAAAAGGCCCGGAUUUUGUGGGUUGUCCGUUUGCGGAAGGGGUGGGAAAAACGCGUGUAUCAUCCCCUUACAUUUGGGGUACUUCUUGGAAAAUGGGGCAAUAACAGGGUAGAAGUUCUUGCUCCGUGUGGGGGGUUGGAAAGUUCCGGCGGUGGGGGUUGGAAUCGAGGCUUAUCAGCUUGUUGGUGGGGUAGGGGCUUACCAAGCUUUUGACGGGUAGCCGGCCUAGGAGGGUGACCGGCCACAUUGGGACUGAGAUACGGCCCAGACGCCUACGGGAGGCAGCAGUGGGGAAUAUUGCACAAUGGGCGGGAGCCUGAUGCAGCAACGCCGCGUGCGGGAUGACGGCCUUCGGGUUGUAAACCGCUUUCGCCUGUGACGAAGCGUGAGUGACGGUAAUGGGUAAAGAAGCACCGGCUAACUACGUG